rnacentral:rRNA from 1 species
GUGGGGAAUAUUGCACAAUGGGCGCAAGCCUGAUGCAGCCAUGCCGCGUGUGUGAAGAAGGCCUUGGUUGUAAAGCACUUUCAGCGGGGAGGAAGGCGGUGAGGUUAAUAACCUCAUCGAUUGACGUUACCCGCAGAAGAAGCACCGGCUAACUCCGCGCCAG